rnacentral:rRNA from 1 species
CUACGGGGGGCAGCAGUAGGGAAUCUUCGGCAAUGGACGGAAGUCUGACCGAGCAACGCCGCGUGAGUGAAGAAGGUUUUCGGAUCGUAAAGCUCUGUUGUAAGAGAAGAACGAGUGUGAGAGUGGAAAGUUCACACUGUGACGGUAUCUUACCAGAAAGGGACGGCUAACUACGUGCCAGCAGCCGCGGUAAUACGUAGGUCCCGAGCGUUGUCCGGAUUUAUUGGGCGUAAAGCGAGCGCAGGCGGUUAGAUAAGUCUGAAGUUAAAGGCUGUGGCUUAACCAUAGUACGCUUUGGAAACUGUUUAACUUGAGUGCAGAAGGGGAGAGUGGAAUUCCAUGUGUAGCGGUGAAAUGCGUAGAUAUAUGGAGGAACACCGGUGGCGAAAGCGGCUCUCUGGUCUGUAACUGACGCUGAGGCUCGAAAGCGUGAGGAGCAAACAGGAUUAGAUACCCCAGUAGUC